GGCCGACUAGCUCAGUUGGUUAGAGCGUCGUGCUAAUAUGCGGUCCCUGGCGAUCCAUUCAACGCGAAGGUCUUGGGUUCGAUCCCCACGUUGGCCA